GAGACGGCAUCGUGCGAUUGGUGGAGUUUGGGCGCCAUCCUGUUUGAGCUCCUGACGGGCAUGUCUCUGCUGCGCUGCCAUCCAGCAGGAAUCGGUCGCCACACAGCUCUCAACAUCCCCGAGUCGGUUUCAGAGGAGGCCAGAUCUCUGCUGGAGCAGUUGCUCCAGUACAACCCAAUGGAGAGACUGGGGGCAGGAGUGGGGGGCGUGGACGAUAUCAAAUCCCACCCUUUCUUUGCCAGAGUGGACUGGCCCAAAUAGACGCUGUGCGUUGUGGAACUGUGGAAACCAGAACUGCAUGCUGGGAAACCGGCUGUCCUGAACAAACUCCCGUCUGACUGGACACACAAACAGAUACACAGUAAAUCCAGAUUAUGCAUUUCUGCACAGAUCUCCCAUUUUACAUGCAAACCCCACGAACCCGUCAGGUUUAUGGUUUUGUUUUGUUUUUAUUAAUAGAGUUUACCAAGCAGCAGUAUUCCCUUCUUUGUACAGUUCUCAUUUCUUUAUCUCAUUAACUGUGCAACGUUUUUGGUGCAGGGAACACUUGACACGUGUGUGGUGCAAUAAUUUAUACGAUAGGUGUGUGUUCUGAGUGAUGACCCACUACAGCUGUGUUGCUUUCACACUCCUCAUGCAUUAGCUAGACGCCAAAAUGUACUGACCGGGAGUGAGAGGUGACAUUUCUGUUCUCACUGCGUUGCUUUGGUUCUGUCAGACUGACACAGACUCAAGUCCUAAAGACCCGUGUGCAAUACACUCAGUUUGUUUUCCACACUCGGAUCAUUCCUCAUGGAGCCCACUGAGAUUAGCUGGCAUGAGGCAAGUUGAGUUUUUAAUUUGAUGCUCUGACCAAGAAACUGACGUAAUUUCUUACGACAUCAAACCUUUUGUGUCGAUCCCUUUUGUUGCCAAUGAGCCUACGAUCAAUAACACGGACGGACUCUAUGCAAGGUGAAGAUAUUUAGAGGUGUGUGUGUUGUUCAGUGAAGAAUUUAGUCAUCCUAAGUUAUUUAAUAGAUUAUAGCUAGAAAGGGGGCCAGUUGAAGACACACAGCCGCAGCUAUGUGUGGUGUUUUUCAUUUAAGAAAAAAAAGACGAGGCGCGCCAUUUGAAACCAGCCCUUUUUCAGAGUCCAAUAGUUUCUAUGAAUAUCAGAGGGAACUCUCUGUAUUGUACAACACUGCAUUUUGUGCAUGUAGGACUAUGAGUCGUGUAAUAUAUUUAAUACUAUGAAAAAUCUAUCAGACAAUAAAUGUGUAUCAUGUACAUAAACCUUUUCAAAGAUGCUGCGCUGAGCGAAAGGUUCAACCAGGUGUCGUCCGACUCGUCGAUCACGUCCUGCCACGUCAGUCAAAUCCUUUUUACUCCACUGUUUGUGUUUCGAGCAACACAUCAACUGAUCGUAAUACUAAUUUUAUAAUCGCUACAAUAACUGGUUUACAUUUUUAUCGGUACAUUUCAUGCCAUAUAUCACUUUGAGGCUUUUGAGCGUCGCCGGAGCAUAUUUAACACGUCUGUGUAACCUCCACUCAGAUAAUCACUCCUCUGUAGAUGCUGCACUCUGUUUCUUCUCCGCAUCACGGUAACAUACAUGUUCACUAAAAGAUACUGUAAAUGACCAGCUUCAUGUUCCACCUAUUAACCCCUUUUAUCAGGCAUAAACAUUACUGUGACAGCAGAUUGUUUUUCUGAUUUCUAUUAAUGCUCACUCGUGUGUCAUGUCAGUGCACUCUGGAAAACAAUAAACAUGCCUGGAUGAGUACAUGAA